rnacentral:rRNA from 1 species
GAUGAACGCUAGCGGCAGGCUUAAUACAUGCAAGUCGAGGGGCAGCAGGUCCCGCAGCAAUGCGGGAUGCUGGCGACCGGCAAACGGGUGCGGAACACGUACAGAACCUUCCUUUAAGUGGGGAAUGGCCCGGGGAAACCCGGAUUAAUACCCCGUAACAUAAUGAAGUGGCAUCACUUUAUUAUUAUAGCAGCAAUGCGCUUGAAGAUGGCUGUGCGGCUGAUUAGGUAGUUGGCGGGGUAAUGGCCCACCAAGCCUACGAUCAGUAACUGGUGUGAGAGCACGACCAGUCACACGGGCACUGAGACACGGGCCCGACUCCUACGGGAGGCAGCAGUAAGGAAUAUUGGGCAAUGGACGCAAGUCUGACCCAGCCAUGCCGCGUGGAGGAUGAAGGUCCUCUGGAUUGUAAACUUCUUUUAUCUGGGAAGAAAUCUAUUUUUUCUAAAGUAGUUGACGGUACCAGAUGAAUAAGCACCGGCUAACUCCGUGCCAGCCGCCGCAGUAA